UACGUAGGCAGCAAGCGUUGUUCGGAUUCACUGGGCGUAAAGGGUGCGCAGGCGGCCAAGUGUGUGAGGCGUGAAAGCCCGGGGCUUAACUCCGGAAUUGCACCUCAAACUACAUGGCUAGAGCAUUGGAGAGGGUAGCAGAAUUCACGGUGUAGCAGUGAAAUGCGUAGAUAUCGUGAGGAAUACCAGAGGCGAAGGCGGCUACCUGGACAAUUGCUGACGCUCAGGCACGAAAGCGUGGGGAGCAAAAGGG
rnacentral:rRNA from 1 species